UGGGGAAUAUUGCACAAUGGGCGCAAGCCUGAUGCAGCCAUGCCGCGUGUAUGAAGAAGGCCUUCGGGUUGUAAAGUACUUUCAGUCGGGAGGAAGGUGUCAAGGUUAAUAACCUUGGCAAUUGACGUUACCGACAGAAGAAGCACCGGCUAACUCCGUGCCAGCAGCCGCGGUAAUACGGAGGGUGCAAGCGUUAAUCGGAAUUACUGGGCGUAAAGCGCACGCAGGCGGUUGAUUGAGUCAGAUGUGAAAUCCCCGGGCUUAACCCGGGAAUUGCAUCUGAUACUGGUCAGCUAGAGUCUUGUAGAGGGGGGUAGAAUUCCAUGUGUAGCGGUGAAAUGCGUAGAGAUAUGGAGGAAUACCGGUGGCGAAGGCGGCCCCCUGGACAAAGACUGACGCUCAGGUGCGAAAGCGUGGGGAGCAAACAGG
rnacentral:rRNA from 1 species